rnacentral:rRNA from 1 species
GUGUCAGCAGCCGCGGUAAUACGUAGGGGGCGAGCGUUGUCCGGAUUCAUUGGGCGUAAAGCGCGGGCAGGCGGCCCGCUCAGUCGGCCGUGAAAGCGCCGGGCUCAACUCGGCGAGGUCGGGCGAUACUGGCGGGCUCGAGGCUGGUAGAGGGCGGUGGAAUUCCGGGUGUAGUGGUGGAAUGCGUAGAGCUCCGGAGGAACACCAGUGGCGAAGGCGGCCGCCUGGGCCAGUCCUGACGCUGAGCCGCGAAAGCGUGGGGAGCGAUCCGGAUUAGAUACCCUCGUAGUCC